rnacentral:rRNA from 1 species
CCUACGGGAGGCAGCAGUGGGGAAUAUUGCACAAUGGGGGAAACCCUGAUGCAGCGACGCCGCGUGAGGGAAGAAGUAUUUCGGUAUGUAAAGCUCUAUCAGCAGGGAAGAAAUAGCGACCUUUGGGUCGCCAGACGGUACCUGACUCAGAAGCCCAGCCUAACUACGUGCCAGCAGCCGCGGUAAUACGUAGGGGGCAAGCGGUAUCCGAAUUUACUGGGUGUAAAGGGAGCGUAGACGGCAGGACAAGUCUGAAGGGAAAUGCCGGGGCUUAACCCCGGAACUGCUUUGGAAACUGUGCAGCUAGAGUGCAGGAGAGGUAAGUGGAAUUCCUAGUGUAGCGGUGAAAUGCGUAGAUAUUAGGAGGAACACCAGUGGCGAAGGCGGCUUACUGGACUGUAACUGACGUUGAGGCUCGAAAGCGUGGGGAGCAAACAGGAUUAGAUACCCGAGUAGUC